GUGGGGAAUAUUGGACAAUGGGCGAAAGCCUGAUCCAGCCAUGCCGCGUGUGUGAAGAAGGUCUUCGGAUUGUAAAGCACUUUAAGUUGGGAGGAAGGGUUGUACGUUAAUACCGUGCAAUUUUGACGUUACCGACAGAAUAAGCACCGGCUAACUUCGUGCCAGCAGCCGCGGUAAUACGAAGGGUGCAAGCGUUAAUCGGAAUUACUGGGCGUAAAGCGCGCGUAGGUGGUUCAGUAAGUUGGAAGUGAAAUCCCCGGGCUCAACCUGGGAACUGCUUUGAAAACGGCGGAGCUAGAGUACGGUAGAGGGUAGUGGAAUUUCCUGUGUAGCGGUGAAAUGCGUAGAUAUAGGAAGGAACACCAGUGGCGAAGGCGACUACCUGGACUGAUACUGACACUGAGGUGCGAAAGCGUGGGGAGCAAACAGGAUUAGAAACCCGAGUAGUCC
rnacentral:rRNA from 1 species